UACAGAGGGUGCAAACGUUGCUCGGAAUUACUGGGCGUAAAGCGCGUGUAGGCUGAUCAGCAAGUCAGAUGUGAAAUCCCUGGGCUCAACCCAGGAACUGCAUUUGAAACUGCUGGUCUUGAGUGUCGGAGAGGAUAGCGGAAUUCCAAGUGUAAAGGUGAAAUUUUUAAAUAUUUGGAGGAACAUCUGUGGCGAAGGCGGCUAUCUGGACGAUUACUGACGCUGAGACGCGAAAGUGUGGGGAGCAAACAGG
rnacentral:rRNA from 1 species